rnacentral:rRNA from 1 species
UACGGAGGGUGCAAGCGUUAUCCGGAUUUACUGGGUUUAAAGGGUGUGUAGGCGGGCUUUUAAGUCAGUGGUGAAAUCUCCGGGCUCAACCCGGAAACUGCCAUUGAUACUAUUAGUCUUGAAUUUUGUUGAGGUAGGCGGAAUAAGUCAUGUAGCGGUGAAAUGCUUAGAUAUGACUUAGAACACCAAUUGCGAAGGCAGCUUGCUAAACAAAUAUUGACGCUGAGGCACGAAAGCGUGGGGAUCAAACAGG